GAUGAACGCUAGCUACAGGCUUAACACAUGCAAGUCGAGGGGAAACGAUAGAGAAAGCUUGCUUUUUCUAGGCGUCGACCGGCGCACGGGUGAGUAACGCGUAUCCAACCUGCCCACCACUUGGGGAUAACCUUGCGAAAGUAAGACUAAUACCCAAUGACGUCCAUAGAAGACAUCUGAAAUGGAUUAAAGAUUUAUCGGUGAUGGAUGGGGAUGCGUCUGAUUAGCUUGUUGGCGGGGUAACGGCCCACCAAGGCGACGAUCAGUAGGGGGUCUGAGAGGAAGGUCCCCCACAUUGGAACUGAGACACGGUCCAAACUCCUACGGGAGGCAGCAGUGAGGAAUAUUGGUCAAUGGGCGAGAGCCUGAACCAGCCAAGUAGCGUGCAGGAUGACGGCCCUAUGGGUUGUAAACUGCUUUUAUAAGGGAAUAAAGUGAGUCUCGUGAGACUUUUUGCAUGUACCUUAUGAAUAAGGACCGGCUAAUUCCGUGCCAGCCGCCGCGGUAA
rnacentral:rRNA from 1 species